ACGGGGUGCAGCAGGCGCGAAAACUUCACAAUGUGGGAAACCGCGAUGAGGGGAUUCCAAGUGCUAACACUUUGUGUUAGCUGUUCACCUGCCUAAAAAGCUGGUGAAGUAAGGGCCGGGUAAGACGGGUGCCAGCCGCCGCGGUAAUACCUGCGGCCCGAGUGGUGGUCGUUAUUAUUGAGCCUAAAGCGUCCGUAGCCGGUUCAGUAAAUCUCUGGGUAAAUCGGGCAGCUCAACUGUCCGACUUCCGGAAAGACUGCUGAACUUGGGACCGGGGGAGGUUGGAGGUACUCCUGGGGUAGGGGUGAAAUCCUGUAAUCCUAGGGGGACCACCAGUGGCGAAGGCGUCCAACCAAAACGGGUCCGACGGUAAGGGACGAAGCCCUGGGGCGCAAACGGGAUUAGAUACCCCGGUAGUCCAGGGUGUAAACGCUGCAGGCUUGGUGUUGGGGGUCCUACGAGGGCGCCCAGUGCCGGAGAGAAGUUGUUAAGCCUGCCGCUUGGGAGUACGUCCGCAAGG
rnacentral:rRNA from 1 species